UGGUAGUNCACGCCGUAAACGAUGAGUGCUAGGUGUUAGGCCCUUUCCGGGGCUUAGUGCCGGAGCUAACGCAAUAAGCACUCCGCCUGGGGAGUACGACCGCAAGGUUGAAACUCAAAGGAAUUGACGGGGGCCCGCACAAGCGGUGGAGCAUGUGGUUUAAUUCGAAGCAACGCGAAGAACCUUACCAGGUCUUGACAUCCCGAUGCUAUUCUUAGAGAUAGGAAGUUACUUCGGUACAUCGGAGACAGGUGGUGCAUGGUUGUCGUCAGCUCGUGUCGUGAGAUGUUGGGUUAANNNNCGCAACGAGCGCAACCCUUAUUGUUAGUUGCCAUCAUUAAGUUGGGCACUCUAGCGAGACUGCCGGUAAUAAACCGGAGGAAGGUGGGGAUGACGUCAAAUCAUCAUGCCCCUUAUGACCUGGGCUACACACGUGCUACAAUGGUCGGUACAACGAGUUGCGAGCCGGUGACGGCAAGCUAAUCUCUGAAAGCCGAUCUCAGUUCGGAUUGGAGGCUGCAACUCGCCUCCAUGAAGUCGGAAUCGCUAGUAAUCGCGGAUCAGCACGCCGCGGUGAAUACGUUCCCGGGCCU
rnacentral:rRNA from 1 species